rnacentral:rRNA from 1 species
UACGUAGGGACCGAGCGUUGUCCGGAAUCAUUGGGCGUAAAGAGCGUGUAGGCGGCCACUUAAGUCCUGCGUGAAAUCUUGCGGCUCAACCGCAAGCGGUCGUGGGAAACUGGGUGGCUAGAGUGCGGGAGAGGAGGGUGGAAUUCCUGGUGUAGCGGUGGAAUGCGCAGAUAUCAGGAAGAACACCCGUGGCGAAGGCGGCUCUCUGGAACGCAACUGACGCUGAGACGCGAAAGCGUGGGGAGCAAACAGG